CCAAGAAGUUUAUUGUAUACGCGAGUCAUUAAGUGUUAAAACUUAUUGGCAUAAUGAAAGUAAAGGUUCACUUGUUGAGCUGAUGUAUGAUAAAGUGUUUACGGACAUUUUAGCAGUACAGUCCUAUUCUUAUGGCUUGCCAUGGAGUGGAGAUAGAGCGUAUGCAAUGAGACCCGAAAGAUGGUGAUCUAUGCUUGAGCAGGAUGAAGCCGGAGGAAACUCUGGUGGAAGUCCGUAACGGUUCUGACGUGCAAAUCGAUCGUCUGACUUGAGUAUAGGGGCGAAAGACUAAUCGAACCAUC
rnacentral:rRNA from 1 species